rnacentral:rRNA from 1 species
AGAGCGAACGCUGGCGGCAGGCUUAACACAUGCAAGUCGAGCGGGCGUAGCAAUACGUCAGCGGCAGACGGGUGAGUAACGCGUGGGAACGUACCUUUUGGUUCGGAACAACCCAGGGAAACUUGGGCUAAUACCGGAUAAGCCCUUACGGGGAAAGAUUUAUCGCCGAAAGAUCGGCCCGCGUCUGAUUAGCUAGUUGGUGAGGUAAUGGCUCACCAAGGCGACGAUCAGUAGCUGGUCUGAGAGGAUGAUCAGCCACAUUGGGACUGAGACACGGCCCAAACUCCUACGGGAGGCAGCAGUGGGGAAUAUUGGACAAUGGGCGCAAGCCUGAUCCAGCCAUGCCGCGUGAGUGAUGAAGGCCCUAGGGUUGUAAAGCUCUUUCGCCCGCGACGAUGAUGACGGUAGCGGGAGAAGAAGCCCCGGCUAACUUCGCGCCAGCAGCCGC